AGAGUUUGAUCCUGGCUCAGAGCGAACGCUGGCGGCGUGCUUAACACAUGCAAGUCGAACGCGCAGCAGUUUGUAGCAAUACAGAUUGUGGGCGCGUGGCGAACGGGUGCGUAACACGUGGAUAACCUUCCUUCAGGUGGGGAAUAACCCAGUGAAAAUUGGGCUAAUACCGCAUAACAUGACGAUGGCUCAUGCUGUUGUCUUCAAAGGCGCAAGUCGCCAGAAGAGGGAUCCGCGGCCGAUUAGCUAGUUGGCGAGGUAAUGGCUCACCAAGGCUUUGAUCGGUAGCCGGACUGAGAGGUUGGCCGGCCACACUGGAACUGAGACACGGUCCAGACUCCUACGGGAGGCAGCAGUGGGGAAUCUUGCACAAUGGACGAAAGUCUGAUGCAGCAACGCCGCGUGGGGGAUGAAGCUUUUCGGAGUGUAAACCCCUUUC
rnacentral:rRNA from 1 species